UUUACAUAAUAACGUAAUUAUUGCCUUAAUUUUGCUUAUUUUUUUUUAUAAAAAUUUUCUUAUAAUAUAGAAAAUGUAGUGAAACCGGAUAUUAUAAAACUGAACAAAAGAAUAAAAUCGAUGAAUGAAGGAAAAGACAUUUAUAAAGAACUUAUUAAACCUCCCAACAAAUUUUUACAUCCAGAUAAUAAAGAUGCAGUAAUACCCCAACAUAAGUUAAUAAAAAAAAUUGAUUUUAGAUCUGAAGCAUUACCACUAUCAGGUAUUUUUGCACCUCUCACUUAUAAAUUAUCGUAUAAGUAUGUAUUAUGUUUGUUAUAUAUUAUUACAUAUAUGCAUAUGUUUUACGUAUAGUAAGAAAAUGUUCUUCUUCUUUUUUUAUAAUUACAUACAUACUUAUAUAAUUUUAUCAAACGCUUGCGUCAAUGCAAACAAUUUUAGGAUUUGCUACUGCUGGAAAUAGGAGAAAGUAUGAUAAGAAUGAAAUUAAACAAAUAAAAAUACAAUAUGGUAAAAAAUUAGAUAUACA
rnacentral:lncRNA from 1 species